UGGGCCCAGCCGCUCCGCGGCAUGUGGGAUCUUCCCGGACCGGGGCACGAACCCGCGUCCCCCGCAUCGGCAGGCGGACUCUCAACCACUGCACCACCAGGGAAGCCCCUGAGCUCUUAUUUUACCGAGGAGACCAGCGCCCAGGGACCGUUUAUGAUGUCCUUGUGUUUCUGGGUAGAAGUGAACACACCUGAAAGAAAGCAGCAUUAUAACAGGUUACCCUUCCCCCUCCCCGUGUCCUCAAGUUAGAGGUGAUACAAACAGAUGGAGAGAUAUACCAUGUCCUUGGGUUGGAAGAAUCAACAUUGUGAAAAUGACUAUACUACCCAAAGCAAUCUACAGAUUCAAUGCAAUCCCUAUCAAACUACCACUGGCAUUUUUCACAGAACUAGAACAAAAAAUUGUACAAUUUGUAUGGAAACACAAAAGACCCCGAAUAGCCAGAGCAAUCUUGAGAAAGAAAAACGGAGCUGGUGGAAUCAGGCUCCCGGACUUCAGACUAUACUACCAAGCUACAGUAAUCAAGACAGUAUGGUACUGACACAGAAACAGAAAUAUAGAUCAAUGGAACAGGAUAGAAAGCCCAGAGAUAAACCCAUGCACAUAUGGUCACUUUAUCUUUGAUAAAGGAGGCAAGAGUAUACAGUGGAGAAAAGACAGCCUCUUCAAUAGUGGUGCCGGGAAAACUGGACAGCUGCAUGUAAAAGAAUGAAAUUAGAACACUUCCUAGCACCAUACACAAAAAUAAACUCAAAAUGGAUUAAAGACCUACCCACGUUUUAAAGAUUGUCCAAGAAUCCUUGGGACAUGUACCAGUUUUAACUUGUUUCCUAAUUCAUAUGGUAACAGUAACUUACAUAUAGUGGGUACUUGCUCUGUACUUUCCAACGCUGUGGGAUAUAUACCAUGUUUCUCUUCAUUGUCUAGAGGAAGAAAAUGAGGCAGGGGGAGUUUGAGUUAUUUGCUGAAGGUCACGUGCAGCUACUAAGUGAGAGGCUCCAGUGCCCACCACCUUCACCGCUAUGCUCACUCCUUCUCAUGCAAGUAUAUUCACUUUGUUGCUAGAGUUACUUUCUCCCCACUAAUCUAUGGCCUCUCUAUCCUUUAUUAAUGUAUGAUAUUAAUAUACAUUAGUAUACUGUAUAUUAAGAUUUCUCCAUUUCAGCUUGGUCCAGAUUAAGAUGAUUUACAAACUAAAACAGAGCCUGGUUUACCUCAGUUGGGUCCAAGAACAAUUCUGUUGGCCCUGAUAAAUUUUGACGCGAAUGCCAUGCCCUCGUUUUCUGAACUAUAAUGAGAAAAUCUCUAUUUUGAGUUGCCGCUUAGGCAUUUUACAGUACAAUGACCCUGCUCACACCCAGAGUCUGGACAUUUAGAUAAGGACCUGAGUUUAGGACUCCUGCCCCAAAUUCUCACUUGCUUUUCCUGGGGCGCCCUUUGAAAUGACCACGUAUAGUUGAGUCCGGGUAAAGUUAGUGACCUGCACCCCAACUACCUUACACAUAAUAGGUUCUUGCUAUCCUGCUCACACGUGAACUGGGACAGAGGACUGCCCUUCUCCUGGCUCACUGCUUCCCUUUCCCCCCUCCUGGUUUCUGGGGUCUGUAAGUAAUAAAUCUUUAAACUUUA